UCGAUCGGCCACUCUCAGUCUCUCAUUCCUUCCCAGAAAAUCACUAUCUCAGUCGCUCAUUAUUCUGACCCAGAAGAUGAGUUACUUUUUCUACUUGGUCAAUCACUAUCUCAGCCGUGUUCUUGAUUUUGCUCUAACAUUCUUGGGUGAUACUUCGUUUCAUCUUCUGUUCCUGUUCCGAAUGGCUGAAAGGGUUUCUUUUUGCAAGAAGAAGGCAUACUCGUAGUCGGCGUAGUAGGCGUAGAUGUCGUCGUCUAAUGUUAUCUAUUUUAGUCAUCUCCUGCUCCCUUUCUCCCUUGUUCUUCUACGUCAUUUUCCGAUUAUUUUGACGCUUGUAAAAGGUAUAUUCUGAGGUGUGUUCUUUCCUUUCUAAUCAUCCAAUUUCUCAUCUGCCUCGUUCUUCAUCUUCUGUUUACGAAGGGCUUCUUGUAGAAUUUGUUCAGCCGAAGCAAACGUUCCCUCUGAUCAUAGCCACUUUCUUUUUCAUCUCCAAGAAGAGGAAGAUAUCAACGACGAAGGCAGAGAUUUUCUUUAAAAUGGAUGCAGAUUUUUACAUGUUACUGUAAUGCCUCAUUAUGCCUUAUUCAAAUACACUGUGUGAAGAUUUUAUAUUUUUUCUUGAUGAACAGAAUAUGGAUAUGCUCGAUUAUGGGCCACAAUGAGUGUAAUGCCAAAAUAUAAUGUUGCAUUUUGAAGUCUCAGUUGAGAAGUUAA